rnacentral:lncRNA from 1 species
CAUCUUCCCAGAUAUACAACUCUGCUUUACCAGUAAAUGCCCAGUGCUUCCUGCUAAAUAUGUGUCACUCUUCUGACACAGAUAGUGAUAUCCUGUGGUCACUUCCCUCCCCAAGUCACAUGUUAGGUAGUGGUUUCAUGCACACCCCACCCAAGAUGGUGGAUUAUCUGACUAUAACAGUGAAACAGGAAGAAUAAUGGUUUCAACCGAAAUAAGAGACUAUUUAUUUUACAGUAAAUAACUUCCAUUCCCAUCAGUUCCCUGAACAAACAAUGAGCAAGCUGUAAUGUGAAAUGAUAAGGAAGCCAAGGUACAGCUUUUGGAAAAGCUGAAGGCCUACUUAAUAUGGAACGCAAAUUCCGUCAACCAAAUAAGACGAUGGCUGAAGAGAACUGUGGUCAGGACAAUGACUCUAGCAGACCACGGAAGGCGAAAAGGCGCCUGGCACCAUACCUCAUCUUGCGGUAUAAAAGAGCCCCAGACAUGAUGUCAGAGGAGCUGGGAGUGAAUCCCUACAACCUAUCAUCUAUGGCACCUUAAUCAAGUUGCUUUACCUCUGUAAGUCUCUGUCUCCUCAUCUAUAAAACAAAGAUAGUAACCCUUCCCAGGCAAGAGUACUUUGUAAACUGUAAGAGACUAAAUAAACGGACAGUGUCAUUAGUAUUAUCUCCUGUGUACAACAGUCUUCUCCAUGGAGAGACAGCUUUAUCCUUAGAAUGACUCAGAGGACCAGUAUGGAUUGAGCUGCUCUUUGGCAAGCUUGCCUAAGAGUAGAGGUAGUAUCUAUUGAAUUUGGGCUUCAUCUUCCCGGUGGGCUGAAAGCCAGGUCAGUAGAGAGGAUGUAAGCUAUCAACACAGCAAAUAAUUAAACCAAGGAGACACCAUAAUUAAGUCCAAAGGGGAAAAUUAUCCCCAUAUGGUGACCUUGAUAAUAAUUACCCAGCUAUAUUCCCCCUCCACAUGCAGCCAUGUCCCAAUAAUAAUUACUGCCAUUGAGUGCUUACUACAUGCUAAGUAGAUACUGUUUUUUACAUGAGUUGUCUCAUUUAAUCUUCAUAAGAAUCCUUUUCAAUGACAUUGCUC